CAGUCAGUCACACAGUCACUCGAUUCGCCCAGUCGACAGACGAAUGACAACGCCUUCUCAAAAAGAAGGCAGAGACAGAAAGAGAAAGAGAGAAGAGGAGCUGCUAAAUUUACCUCCAGCAAGCCAGCAGGGGUUCUUAAGGCGAGCCAUUCCAGGGUUAAUAAAGGAGAAGUUCUUGAACAUAGUCUGGUCCACGCUGUUGAUGAGGGUCCGAUCGGCACAGGACAGUCGAGGCUUCUCGUUAAUGAACUCCUUAUCAAAGUU